AAGAGGAGGAGGGGGAGGGGCGCGACGAGGAGGGGGAGGAAUACGACGAAGAGGAGCACGAGGAGGUGGGGGCGGGGCUAUGGCUUGGGGGCGGGGUUUUCAUUGGUCGGGGCUGGGGUUGGGGGCGGGGCUAUGGAAUGGUNNNNNNNNNNNNNNNNNNNNNNNNNNNNNNNNNNNNNNNNNNUGUUAGUUUUAAUUGGAUGGGACUAGGGUAGGGGGCGGGAUUGUAGAGGGGACUGGGUUACGAUUGGAUGGGGCUUGGAUUGGAGGCGGAGCUAUGGGCUGGUGUCAGUUUUAAUUGGAUGGGACUAGGGUUAGGGGCGGGGCUAUGGGUUGGGGGCGGGGCUAUGGAAUGAUGUUAUUUUUAAUUGGAUGGGGCUGGGGUUGGGGGCGGGGCUAUAGAGGGGACAGGGUUCCGAUUGGAUGGGGCUUGGAUUGGAGGCAGGGCUAUGGAAUGGUGUUAGUUGUAAUUGGACGGGGCUUGGGUUGGGGGCGGGGCUAUGCUAGGAUGGGUUUGGGUUGGGGCCGGGGCUUUGGGUUGGGGCGGAGCUAUGGGUUGGGUCAGUUUUAAUUGGACAGGGCUAUCGUUGGGGGCGGGGCUAUAGGUGGGGCAGGACUGUGGUUGGGUGGGGCUUGGGAUGGGGGCGGGGCUAUAGAGGGGACAGGGUUACGAUUGGAUGGGCUACGGGUUGGAGGCGGUGGGGUCAGAAUUGGGGUGAUGGGGUCAGGAUUAGGAUUGGGACUAAUGUUGGGAUUAUGGGGUUGGGAUUAUGGGGUCAGAAUUGGGGUUAUGGGAUUGGGAUUAGGAUUGGGAUUAACAUUGGGAUUAUGAGGUUGGGACUAUGGGGUCAGGUGAUGGGUUCAGGAUUAGGAUUGGGAUUAACGUUGGGAUUAUGGGGUUGGGGUUAUGGGGUCAGAAUUGGAGUGAUGGGGUUAGGGUUCAGAUUGGGAUUAGCAUUGGGAUUAUGGGGUUGGGGUUAUUGGGUCAGAAUUGGGUUUAUGGCGUUGGGGUUAGGAUUGGGAUUGGGAUUAGCUUUAGGACUACGGGGUUGGGGUUAUGGGGUGAGAAUUGGGGUUAUGGGGUCAGGGUUAGGAUUGGGAUUGGGAUUAUGGGGUUGGGGUUAUGGAGUCAGAACUGGAGUUAUGGGGUCAGGGUUGGAUUCAGAUUGGGAUUAACAUUAGGACUGCAGGGUUGGGGCUAUGGGGUCAGAGUUGGAGUUAUGGGGUCAGGGUUCAGAUUGGGAUUGGGAUUAUGGGUUGGGGUUAUGGGGUCAGAAUUGGGGUUAUGGGGUUGGGGUUAGGAUUGGGAUUAACGUUGGGAUUAUGGGAUUGGGGUUAUGGGAUCAGAAUUGGAGUUAUGGGGUUGGGGUUAGGAUUGGGAUUGUGAUUAU
rnacentral:lncRNA from 1 species